CAGGUAUGAACGCUAGGGGCAUGCUUAACACAUGCAAGUCGAACGAUUCUUUUUUUUCGUAAGAAAAAAAAGAAAAGUGGCGGACGGGUGAGUAACGCGUAAGAACUUACCCCUAGGAGGGGAAUAACUGCUAGAAAUGGUAGCUAAUACCCCAUAAGCUGAGGAGUAAAAAGGAGUAUUCCGCCUAGGGAUAGGCUUGCGUCUGAUUAGCUAGUUGGUAAAGUAACCGGUUUACCAAGGCAACCGAUCAGUAGCUGGUCUGAGAGGAUGAUCAGCCACACUGGGACUGAGACACGGCCCAAGACUCCUACGGGGAGGCAGCAAGCUGAGGAAUUUUCCGCAAUG
rnacentral:rRNA from 1 species